rnacentral:rRNA from 1 species
GACGAACGCUGGCGGCGUGCUUAACACAUGCAAGUCGAACGGUGAAGCGAGAGCUUGCUCUUGUGGAUCAGUGGCGAACGGGUGAGUAACACGUGAGUAACCUGCCCCAGACUCUGGGAUAAGCCUUGGAAACGAGGUCUAAUACCGGAUAUGCAACAGGACCGCAUGGUCAUUGUUGGGAAAGUUUUUCGGUCUGGGAUGGACUCGCGGCCUAUCAGCUUGUUGGUGAGGUAAUGGCUCACCAAGGCGACGACGGGUAGCCGGCCUGAGAGGGCGACCGGCCACACUGGAACUGAGACACGGUCCAGACUCCUACGGGAGGCAGCAGUGGGGAAUAUUGCACAAUGGGCGAAAGCCUGAUGCAGCGACGCCGCGUGGGGGAUGAAGGCCUUCGGGUUGUAAACCCCUUUCAGUAGGGAAGAAGCGAAAGUGACGGUAC